rnacentral:rRNA from 1 species
AGAGUUUGAUCCUGGCUCAGAUUGAACGCUGGCGGCAUGCCUUACACAUGCAAGUCGAACGGUAACAGGUCUUCGGAUGCUGACGAGUGGCGAACGGGUGAGUAAUACAUCGGAACGUGCCCAGUAAUGGGGGAUAGCUCGGCGAAAGCCGGAUUAAUACCGCAUACGCCCUGAGGGGGAAAGUGGGGGAUCGCAAGACCUCACGUUAUUGGAGCGGCCGAUGGCUGAUUAGCUAGUUGGUAGGGUAAAGGCCUACCAAGGCGACGAUCAGUAGCUGGUCUGAGAGGACGAUCAGCCACACUGGGACUGAGACACGGCCCAGACUCCUACAGGAGGCAGCAGUGGGGAAUUUUGGACAAUGGGGGAAACCCUGAUCCAGCAAUGCCGCGUGUGCGAAGAAGGCCUUCGGGUUGUAAAGCACUUUUGUCAGGGAAGAAAUCCUUUGGGCUAAUACCCUAGGGGGAUGACGGUACCUGAAGAAUAAGCACCGGCUAACUACGUGCCAGCAGCCGCGGUAAUACGUAGGGUGCAAGCGUUAAUCGGAAUUACUGGGCGUAAAGCGUGCGCAGGCGGUUGUGUAAGACAGGUGUGAAAUCCCCGGGCUUAACCUGGGAAUUGCAUUUGUGACUGCACGACUAGAGUGUGUCAGAGGGGGGUGGAAUUCCACGUGUAGCAGUGAAAUGCGUAGAUAUGUGGAGGAACACCAAUGGCGAAGCAGCCCCCUGGGAUAACACUGACGCUCAUGCACGAAGCGUGGGGAGCAACAGGAUUAGAUACCCUGGUAGUCCACGCCCUAAACGAUGUCACUAGUUGUUGGGGAUUUACUUCCUUGGUUAACGUAGCUAACGCGUGAAGUUGACCGCCUGGGGAGUAC